rnacentral:snRNA from 1 species
GUGUUGCCUUUGGCAGCAUUUAUACUAAAACUGGAAUGAUGUGGAGAAGAUGAGCAUGACCCUGUGUGAACAUGACAUGAAAAAUUUGUGGUUACAUGUUUUA